rnacentral:rRNA from 1 species
UACGUAGGGUGCAAGCGUUGUCCGGAAUUAUUGGGCGUAAAGAGCUCGUAGGCGGUUUGUCGCGUCUGCUGUGAAAUCUGGGGGCUCAACCCCCAGCCUGCAGUGGGUACGGGCAGACUAGAGUGCGGUAGGGGAGAUUGGAAUUCCUGGUGUAGCGAUGGAAUGCGCAGAUAUCAGGAGGAACACCGAUGGCGAAGGCAGAUCUCUGGGCCGUAACUGACGCUGAGGAGCGAAAGCAUGGGGAGCGAACA